UGGGGAAUUUUGCGCAAUGGGGGAAACCCUGACGCAGCAACGCCGCGUGCGGGACGAAGGCCCUCGGGUCGUAAACCGCUUUCAGCAGGGAAGACCACGACGGUACCUGCAGAAGAAGCUCCGGCUAACUACGUGCCAGCAGCCGCGGUAAUACGUAGGGGGCGAGCGUUAUCCGGAUUCAUUGGGCGUAAAGCGCGCGUAGGCGGCCGCCUAAGCGGAACCUCUAACCCCGGGGCUCAACCUCGGGCCGGGUUCCGGACUGGGCGGCUCGAGUGCGGUAGAGGAGAGCGGAAUUCCCGGUGU
rnacentral:rRNA from 1 species